AACGGAGUAGUACACUUGUACGUACUCAAUAGAUAGGGCACACAGUGACUGUUGGCUAAAAUACGAGUAUCACAUGUGAAGUCAGAGUCCUUGAAACUUGAGAAUAAAUUUGGUAUAAGAUGCUUCAUUUAACUAAAAGACGGAUGCCCCAAUCGACGGUGCCACAACAAUAUUUGUUUUUGUUUGCUAUCAGAGGGAUGCAUCACACUGUUAGUCAUGCCGAG
rnacentral:lncRNA from 1 species